rnacentral:rRNA from 1 species
GACGAACGCUGGCGGCGUGCUUAAAACAUGCAAGUCGAACGGACUUCUCAUGAAGCUUGCGAUUGAGAAGUUAGUGGCGGACGGGUGAGUAACGCGUGGGCAACCUGCCCCUGAGCCCGGGAUAACAGUUCGAAAGGACUGCUAAGACCGGAUAUACUUGCGGGGAAGCAUUUCUCUGUAAGGAAAGGGAACGCUCAGGGAUGGGCCCGCGUCCCAUUAGCUAGUUGGUGAGGUAACGGCCCACCAAGGCGACGAUGGGUAGCCGGCCUGAGAGGGUGAACGGCCACACUGGGACUGAGACACGGCCCAGACUCCUACGGGAGGCAGCAGUUGGGAAUCUUCGGCAAUGGGCGCAAGCCUGACCGAGCAACGCCGCGUGAGUGAUGAAGGUUUUCGAUUGUAAAGCUCUGCCUUCCGGGACGAUAAUGACGGUACCGGAGGAGGAAGCCACGGCUAACUACGUG